AGAGUUUGAUCCUGGCUCAGGACGAACGCUGGCGGCGUGCCUAAUACAUGCAAGUCGAACGCUUCUUUUCUACCGAGUGCUUGCACUCACUUGAAAAGAGGAGUGGCGGACGGGUGAGUAACACGUGGGUAACCUACCCAUCAGAGGGGGAUAACACUUGGAAACAGGUGCUAAUACCGCAUAAUAGUCGACAUCGCAUGGUGUUGAUUUGAAAGACGCUUUCGGGUGUCACUGAUGGAUGGACCCGCGGUGCAUUAGCUAGUUGGUGAGGUAACGGCUCACCAAGGCCAUGAUGCAUAGCCGACCUGAGAGGGUGAUCGGCCACACUGGGACUGAGACACGGCCCAGACUCCUACGGGAGGCAGCAGUAGGGAAUCUUCGGCAAUGGACGAAAGUCUCACCGAGCAACGCCGCGUGAGUGAAGAAGGUUUUCGGAUCGUAAAACUCUGUCGUUAGAGAGGAACAAGUAGGAGAGUAACUGCUCUUACCUUGACGGUAUCUAACCAGAAAGCCACGGCUAACUACGUGCCAGCAGCCGCGGUAAUACGUAGGUGGCAAGCGUUGUCCGGAUUUAUUGGGCGUAAAGCGAGCGCAGGCGGUUUCUUAAGUCUGAUGUGAAAGCCCCCGGCUCAACCGGGGAGGGUCAUUGGAAACUGGGAGACUUGAGUGCAGAAGAGGAGAGUGGAAUUUCCAUGUGUAGCGGUGAAAUGCGUAGAUAUAUGGAGGAACACCAGUGGCGAAGGCGACUCUCUGGUCUGUAACUGACGCUG
rnacentral:rRNA from 1 species